ACAGGCGUAGCCAAGCGGUAAGGCAAGGGACUUUGACUCCCUCAUUCGCUGGUUCAAAUCCAGCCGUCUGUGCCA
rnacentral:tRNA from 1 species